rnacentral:rRNA from 1 species
GUUGAACGCUGGCGGCAUGCCUCACACAUGCAAGUCGAACGGCAGCACGGGAGCAAUCCUGGUGGCGAGUGGCGAACGGGUGAGUAAAGUAUCGGAACGUGCCCAGUCGUGGGGGAUAACGUAGCGAAAGUUACGCUAAUACCGCAUACGAUCUAUGGAUGAAAGCGGGGGAUCGCAAGACCUCGCGCGAUUGGAGCGGCCGAUAUCAGAUUAGGUAGUUGGUGGGGUAAAGGCUCACCAAGCCGACGAUCUGUAGCUGGUCUGAGAGGACGACCAGCCACACUGGGACUGAGACACGGCCCAGACUCCUACGGGAGGCAGCAGUGGGGAAUUUUGGACAAUGGGCGAAAGCCUGAUCCAGCCAUGCCGCGUGCAGGAUGAAGGCCUUCGGGUUGUAAACUGCUUUUGUACGGAACGAAAAGGUUUGGCCUAAUAAGCUGAGCUCAUGACGGUACCGUAAGAAUAAGCACCGGCUAACUACGUGCCAGCAGCCGCGGUAA